CGGAGAGGGGCGGGGCCUCGGCGGAAAGAUGAAUUGGAAGGGGCGGGCGCUGUGAGGCGCGUCCCCCCGAGGUCCCGCCCCUCGGAGCGGGAGGUGCAGGGCGGGGAGCGCACCCCACCCAGCGGUCGCCCGCGGAAUUGGGCUCUUAAAGGGGACGCGGCCCCGGACCGCCGUGAGGGUGGGCGGCCUCGGGCCCUGCCCCCACCCCAGUGGGGGUCGAUGUGUGAUAGGGUGGACGUGCGGGUCCCGUUGUCUGCCACACAGGAUGUCCAGUGCCACCCAUCCCAUCUUCUACAGUCCCAUCUCAUCCCAUCCCAUUCUAUCCUCUACAGUCCUGUACCAUUCCAUUAUUCCAUUUAAUACCACCCAGUCCUAUCCCAUCGCAGCCCAUCCUCUAGAUUCCCAUUCCAUUCCAUUCCAUUCCAUCCUCUCUCAUUCCAUUCAAUUCCCUUCCAUCCUAUUCUUUAUGGUCCCAUCCCAUCUCAUCUUCUAUGCUCCCAUUCCGUUCCAUUCCAUUCCAUUCCAUUCCAUUCCAUUCCAUUCCAUUCCAUUCCAUUCCAUUCCAUUCCAUUCCAUUCCAUUCCAUUCCAUUCCAUUCCAUCCCACAGUUCUGUCUCAUUCUGUUCUGCUCCAUUCAAUUCCGUUCCAUUCCUUCCAUUCUAUUCCAUCUCAUCCUUUACAGUCCCAACCCAUCCUCUACACUACCAUUCCAUUCCCUUCCAUUCCAUUCCACUCUCUACAGCCCUGUCCCAUUCCGUUCCGUUCCAACCCAUCCCAUCCCAUCCCAUCCCAUCCCAUCCCACCCCGUCCCGUCCCGUUCCGUUCCGUUCCGUUCCGUUCCACUCUACCCUCUACAGUUCUGUCCCAUCCCACUGAACCCCAUCUGUUCCAUCCUGUCCCAUGCAUUCCCAUCCCACCCCAUCCCAUCCCAUCCCAUCCCAUCCCACUGUAUGCAUCCCAUCUCUCCCUAUCCCAUCCUCUGAUCCUUCCCUGUCCCUUCUGUCCCCACUCUGUCCCAUUCCCAUCACGCCAUCGCUCCCAUCCCAGUGUCCCAUCUGAGGCUGGGAUUACAACCAGGGGGGCACACGCAUGGAGAACCC
rnacentral:lncRNA from 1 species